rnacentral:piRNA from 1 species
UAUCUGCUUCAUAAAUAUGUACCGUAUAUC